rnacentral:rRNA from 1 species
AACGAACCGAGCGAACGUUGUUCGGAAUCACUGGGCUUAAAGGGCGCGUAGGCGGGCGGUCACGUCCGGGGUGAAAUCCCACGGCUCAACCGUGGAACGGCCUCGGAUACGGGCGGCCUCGAGGGGGGUAGGGGCAUGCGGAACUGUGAGUGGAGCGGUGAAAUGCGUUGAUAUUCACAGGAACUCCGGUGGCGAAGGCGGCGUGCUGGACCCCACCUGACGCUGAGGCGCGAAAGCCAGGGGAGCAAACGGG